rfam:Dipodomys ordii contig_37717, whole genome shotgun sequence.
GGUGGCUCAGUGGUAGAGUGCUUGCCUUGCAUGCAUGAGGCUCUGAGUUCGCUUUCUCAGCACCU